UACUAUAAAGGAGACAUUUUUUUUUUUCUAUCGACAACGUAAAAUUUAUUCACAUGGAAAUUCAGCUUUUUUGCCCUUUAGCCAAUCUCAUCCCUGUUAAUAGUAUGUCUUUUCUAAAUUAAAGACCAAUUGUGUAAAAAUUAAAACUAAUUGUAUUUUCUAUGUAAUGUGUAUAUUAAUAGACAUGCUUAAACUGCAUUUCUUUGUAUUGCUUCAGUGCUUUUUAUAUUAUCAUUGCCAAAGACAUUUAAUUUCCUCAGUGCUUAUAAAAAAUUUAUAAUUCGUUCAAAUUUGUAUGUUAGGUUCAAGUGAUACCUUGGUCAAUAAGUGAUAGCAAUUUUGUACUCAGUCCUUCUCAAAGACUAGAUCCUAGCAAAACCGUUUUUGUGGGGGCCCUUCAUGGCAUGCUAAAUGCUGAAGGUUUAGCACUUAUCAUGAAUGAUUUGUUCGGAGGUGUUGUCUAUGCUGGAAUAGAUACAGACAAGCACAAAUAUCCCAUUGGUUCUGGAAGAGUGACAUUCAACAACCAUAAGAGCUAUAUGAAAGCAGUUACUGCAGCUUUCAUUGAUAUCAAAACU